ACUCCUACGGGAGGCAGCAGUGGGAAUAUUGCACAAUGGGCGCAAGCCUGAUGCAGCCAUGCCGCGUGUGUGAAGAAGGCCUUCGGGUUGUAAAGCACUUUCAGUCGUGAGGAAGGUAGUGUAGUUAAUAGCUGCAUUAUUUGACGUUAGCGACAGAAGAAAUCCGCGUAACUCCGUGCCAGCAGCCGCGGUAAUACGGAGGGUGCGAGCGUUAUCCGGAAUCACUGGGCGUAAAGGGCGCGUAGGCGGUACAUAAGUCCGAUGUUAAAGCGUAGGCUCAACCUAUAAAGGCGUGGAUACUGUGAAACUAGACUUCUGAGAGGUAAGUGGAAUUACCAGAGUGCGGUGAAAUGCGUAGAUACUGGUAGGAACACCCAUAGCGAAGGCAGCUUACUGGACAGAGAGUGACGCUGAGGCGCG
rnacentral:rRNA from 1 species